rnacentral:rRNA from 1 species
AGGACGAACGCUGGCGGCGUGCUUAACACAUGCAAGUCGAGCGGAAAGGCCCUUCGGGGUACUCGAGCGGCGAACGGGUGAGUAACACGUGGGCAACCUGCCCUUAGCUCUGGGAUAGCUCCGGGAAACCGGAAUUAAAUACCGGAUAUGACCUAGGCCGACAUCGGCCGUGGUGGAAAGUUUUUCGGCUAGGGAUGGACUCGCGGCCUAUCAGCUAGUUGGUGGGGUAAUGGCCUACCAAGGCGACGACGGGUAGCCGG